AGUGCUGUAGCUCAGCUGGUUAGAGCGCAGGUCCGAUGUUCCAGAAGUCACGGUUCAAGCCCCGUCGGGACUA
rnacentral:tRNA from 1 species